rnacentral:tRNA from 1 species
GCCGAAAUGGCGGAAUUGGUAGACGCGCACGACUCAAAAUCGUGUGAGAUUUCUUCAUGAGGGUUCAAGUCCCUCUUUCGGCACCA